rnacentral:lncRNA from 1 species
UGGAGGUCUUUGUGUCUUGCCCUUUGGUGUGAUGAAGCCAUUGCUGGUUCAUGUAUGCUGGGAGCGGAGGCACUAUGCAUACCUGUUGGUGGCUGUGCUCACGCUGCUGGAGACAGACAAGAAAUAAUGGAGUUCAGACUGCCAGCAAAUACCAGGGAUCAGCUGUGACCAAAGGACAAGUAAAAGAAGAUCUGAUGUCAGGCACCAGGGAAGCUGCUGAGUUCCCAGUGCUGUUGGAUCCACCUUCAUCUCCUUCUGCAGCCAACGGGCCUGUCCUUGCUCAGGUGGAGGGUGAAGGGCUGUGGGGACCCAGUGGUGUCUUCCCAUGUUGGCCCCACGCAUGUUGUUGUAGUCGCUGCUCGGCUCGGGCUCUGCCGCCUUGCUGUGUCUUAGCAUGUUUCUACAAUAAAGUUAACUCCACAGCGUCCUGUCGCUUUUCGUCACUGAGUCUCACGGGAGGGACGUGUGAGUCCCUGGUCUGGCUGCUUGCCACGCGUCCCUUGAGCACUAAGCACCAAACCCAAGCGAAGAUGUCAGACACACAGAAGAAGAAAGUGGUCUGGGUUCUGUUAGCAGGGACCAGCAGUUGGGUUCUCUGACUCUCUGUAGGGCCUUGGUGUAUCUCUUUGUCUCCCUUCAGCCCUUUUCUCUUGCCUGUAAAAACGGACAUUAAAAGAUGCUUACCUACCUC